rfam:Pelomonas sp. Root1444 contig_4, whole genome shotgun sequence.
GGGUCGGCAGAACACCCAGGCCUUGCCGCACGGUGCACGCCGUGAGCUGAACCUGCCC